rnacentral:lncRNA from 1 species
UUUGAAUUCUAGAUAAACAACGAAUAAUUUCGUAGCAUAAAUAUGUCCCAAGCUUAGUUUGGGACAUACUUAUGCUAAAAAACAUUAUUGGUUGUUUAUCUGAGAUUCAAAAUUAAGCAUUUUAUAUUUUAUUUGCUGCCUCUGGCCACCCUAACUCUCUUCCUAACACUCUCUCCCUCUCCCAGUUUUGUCCGCCUUCCCUAUCUCCUCUUCUGGGGGAGUUAGAUCGAGUUGUAACAAGAACAUGCCACUGUCUCACUGGCUGCAGCGUGUGGUCCCCUUACCAGAGUGAGGAUGCGAAGAGAAGGUGGCUGUCUGCAAACCAGGAAGAGAGCCCUCACCAGGAACCUGUCCAGCUGCCACCUUGAACUUGGACUUCCAAGCCUCCAGAACUGUGAGGGAUAAAUGUGUGAUUUUAAAGUCG